rnacentral:rRNA from 1 species
UACAGAGGGGGCAAGCGUUGUUCGGAAUUACUGGGCGUAAAGCGUGUGUAGGCGGCUAUGUAAGUCGGAUGUGAAAGCCCCAGGCUCAACCUGGGAAGUGCACUCGAUACUGCGUAGCUUGAGUAUCGGAGAGGUUGGUGGAAUUCUCGGUGUAGAGGUGAAAUUCGUAGAUAUCGAGAGGAACACCGGUGGCGAAGGCGGCCAACUGGACGAAUACUGACGCUGAGACACGAAAGCGUGGGGAGCAAACAGG